GCGGAAGUAGUUCAGAGGUAGAACGUCUGCUUGCCAAGCAGAAGGUCGCGGGUUCGAAUCCCGUCUUCCGCUCCA
rnacentral:tRNA from 1 species